UGGCUACAUCACGUUGAAACACAGUUUCUCGUACGAUCACCAAUAUUAAGCAACGUCGAGCCAGGUCAGUACUUAGAUGGGUGACCUCUUGGGUGUACCCAGUGCAGUA